rnacentral:rRNA from 1 species
GUGGGGAAUAUUGGACAAUGGGCGAAAGCCUGAUCCAGCCAUGCCGCGUGUGUGAAGAAGGUCUUCGGAUUGUAAAGCACUUUAAGUUGGGAGGAAGGGCAGUAAGUUAAUACCUUGCUGUUUUGACGUUACCGACAGAAUAAGCACCGGCUAACUUCGUGCCAGCAGCCGCGGUAAUACGAAGGGUGCAAGCGUUAAUCGGAAUUACUGGGGGUAAAGCGCGCGUAGGUGGUUUUGUAAGUUGGAGGUGAAAUCCCCGGGCUCAACCUGGGAACUGCCUCAAAAACUGCAUGACUAGAGUACGGUAGAGGGUAGUGGAAUUUCCUGUGUAGCGGUGAAAUGCGUAGAUAUAGGAAGGAACACCAGUGGCGAAGGCGACUACCUGGACUGAUACUGACACUGAGGUGCGAAAGCGUGGGGAGCAAACAGGAUUAGAAACCCCGGUAGUCC